rnacentral:rRNA from 1 species
GCCCUAGCGGCGAACGGGUGAGUAACACGUGGGCAACCUGCCCUCAGCUCUGGGAUAACCCCAAGAAAUUGGGGCUAAUACUGGAUAUGACUGCUGACCGCAUGGUCUGGUGGUGGAAAGAUUUAUCGGCUGAGGAUGGGCCCGCGGCCUAUCAGCUUGUUGGUGGGGUCACGGCCCACCAAGGCGACGACGGGUAGCCGGCCUGAGAGGGUGACCGGCCACACUGGGACUGAGACACGGCCCAGACUCCUACGGGAGGCAGCAGUGGGGAAUAUUGCGCAAUGGGCGAAAGCCUGACGCAGCGACGCCGCGUGGGGGAUGACGGCCUUCGGGUUGUAAACCUCUUUCAGCAGGGACGAAGCGGAAGUGACGGUACCUGCAGAAGAAGCACCGGCCAACUACGUGCCAGCAGCCGCGGUAAUACGUAGGGUGCAAGCGUUGUCCGGAAUUAUUGGGCGUAAAGAGCUCGUAGGCGGUCUGUCGCGUCGGCUGUGAAAACCCGAGGCUCAACCUCGGGCCUGCAGUCGAUACGGGCAAACUAGAGUGUUGCAGGGGAGACUGGAAUUCCUGGUGUAGCGGUGAAAUGCGCAGAUAUCAGGAGGAACACCGGUGGCGAAGGCGGGUCUCUGGGCAACAACUGA